UACGUAGGGAGCAAGCGUUGUCCGGAAUCACUGGGCGUAAAGCGCACGUAGGCGGAUUGCUAAGUCAGGGGUGAAAUCCUGGAGCUCAACUCCAGAACUGCCUUUGAUACUGGCGAUCUUGAGUCCGGGAGAGGUGAGUGGAACUGCGAGUGUAGAGGUGAAAUUCGUAGAUAUUCGCAAGAACACCAGUGGCGAAGGCGGCUCACUGGCCCGGUACUGACGCUGAGGUGCGAAAGCGUGGGGAGCAAACAGG
rnacentral:rRNA from 1 species